rnacentral:rRNA from 1 species
GUGAGUCAUCGAGUCUUUGAACGCACCUUGCGCUCCUUGGUAUUCCGAGGAGCAUGCCUGUUUGAGUGUCAUUAAAUUCUCAACCUCACCCGUUUUCUGAACGGUACCCGAGGCUUGGAGUGUGGGGGUUUGUGCAGGCUGCCUCAGCGCUGGUCUGCUCCUCUGAAAUGCAUUAGCGAGUUCAUACUGAACCUCCGUCUAUUGGUGUGAUAAUUAUCUACGCCGUGGACUGGGUUUAGACUCGCUUCUAACCGUCCGCAAGGACAAUACCUUUGACAAUUUGACCUCAAAUCAGGUAGGACUACCCGCUGAACUUAA